rnacentral:lncRNA from 1 species
UCUCACAAUUGUCCCCUUUUCUUUUCUGCUCUCCUACCUUUCUCCUGACCAUAUUUUCUCCUUUUUUCUGCAGAGUCCUCCUAAAACCACCUGACAGUGUGGAUAUCCUCAGAGAAAGAAAGACUGUUCUUUUCCAGGGAACUAAGUAGCUGAAUUCUACCAGUAGAAUCAUUCAACCAUUAGAAUUAUUUCUGCUUGUUGUAGAAGAUACAGCUCAGAUCCAAAGCAGACUGAGGAAUUCAAGGAAGGCUUCUCUACAGCUCCAUCCAGGAGCAGCAGGAUCUUUCAUUGUGACGAUGGACUUGGGGAAAAGAGGCAAGACAUCAAGAGGCAGUGAGAACCUGCAAAAUAUUUCUUUGGGUAGGGUCAUGUGCUGGUGGAGGACAGAAACUAAAGGUGAUGGAAAUACAGUGCUUUAUUUAGUCUGAGGUGAUACCUAUCUGAUUUUACAGGCUGUAAACAUUAAAUAAAUAACUCCUCUGGCUCUUAAUCA